UCUAGAACUCGAGAUAUGAGCUGAACACUAAACAAUGUCUGGGUUGCAGGAUAUGUUUUAGGCCUAUCUCUUAGCUUUCUAGC
rfam:Populus trichocarpa scaffold_15_contig_109, whole genome shotgun sequence.